rnacentral:rRNA from 1 species
UACGGGGGGGGCAAGCGUUGUUCGGAAUUACUGGGCGCAAAGGGCGCGUAGGCGGCCUGCUAAGUCGGACGUGAAAUCCCCCGGCUCAACCGGGGAACUGCGUCCGAUACUGGUGGGCUCGAAUCCGGGAGAGGGAUGUGGAAUUCCGAGGUGUAGCGGUGAAAUGCGUAGAUAAUCUGGAGGAACACCUGCGGUGUAGACGGCUUACUGGACCGUAACUGACGCUGAGGCACGAAAGCGUGGGGAGCAAACAGG